rnacentral:snRNA from 1 species
GUGCUCACUUCGGCAGCACAUGUACUAAAAUUGGAGUGAUACAGAGAAGAUUAGCAUGGCCCCUGCGUGAGGAUGACGCACAAACUCAUAAAGCGUUCCAUAUUUUU